rnacentral:rRNA from 1 species
AUUGAACGCUGGCGGCAGGCCUAACACAUGCAAGUCGAACGAGUGGCGGACGGGUGAGUAAUGUCUGGGAAACUGCCCGAUGGAGGGGGAUAACUACUGGAAACGGUAGCUAAUACCGCAUACCAUCGGAUGUGCCCAGAUGGGAUUAGCUAGUAGGUGGGGUAACGGCUCACAUAGGCGACGAUCCCUAGCUGGUCUGAGAGGGAGACCAGCCACACGGGCACUGAGACACGGUCCAGACUCUGACGGGAGGCAGCAGUGGGGAAUAUUGCACAAGGGGCGCAAGCCGGAUGCAGCAAGGCCGGGUGAGUGAAGAAGGCCUUCGGAUUGUAAAGUACUUUCAGCGGGGAGGCGUUACUCGAAGAGGAAGCACCGGCUAACUCCGUGCCAGCAGCCGCGGUAAUUC